rnacentral:rRNA from 1 species
CGUGAGGGAAAGGUGAAAAGAACCCCGGGAGGGGAGUGAAAUAGAAUCUGAAACCAUGUGGCUUACAAUCGGUCAGAGCACGAUAGCAGCAAUGCUCGUGUCAUGGCUUGCCUAUUGAAGAAUGAGCCGGGGAGUUGUUGGUCCGGAGCCAGGUUAAGGGGUUAUCCCCCGAAGCCGUAGCGAAAGCGAGUCUGAAUAGGGCGCAUGUUCCGGUCAACAGACCCGAAACCGGGUGAUCUACUCAUGGUCAGGAUGAAGCGGAAUUAAGCCUCCGUGGAGGUCCGAACUCGUUAAGGGUGAAAACUUAUGAGAUGAACUGUGAGUAGGGGAGAAAUUCCAAUCGAACCCGGAGAUAGCUGGUUCUCUCCGAAAUGCAUUUAGGUGCAGCUUCCGGAGCUCCCUCGAGGAGGUAGAGCACUGAAAGGGCUAGGAGUCCUACCCGACGACCAAACCCUAUCAAACUCCGAAUGCCUCGAGCUUUGAUCCGGAAAGUGAGACAGCGAGUAAUAAGAUCCGUUGUCAAAAGGGAAACAGCCCAGACCGCCUGCUAAGGUCCCCAAUCUUUUCUAAGUGUAAAUCAAGGAAGUGUCAUUACCCUGACAGCCAGGAUGUUGGCUCAGAAGCAGCCACCAUUUAAAGAGUGCGUAACAGCUCACUGGUCGAGUGGUGAUGCGCCGUAAAUGUUCGGGACUAAGAAAAGAACCGAAGCAGCGGGUUCAAGUGUAAACUUGGGCGGUAGGAGAGCGUUCCUGUCAGCAGUAAAGGUAUACCGUAAGGAGUGCUGGAGCGGCAGGAAGUGAGAAUCCCGGCUUGAGUAGCGAAAAACAGAGUGAGAAUCUCUGUCACCGAAAGUCUAAGGUUUCCUGGGGAAGGUUUGUCCGCCCAGGGUUAGUCGGUCCUAAGUCGAGGCCGAAAGGCGUAGAUAAUGGCCAACAGGUUAAUAUUCCUGUACCACGCAAUCGCGUUAUGAGCAAUGGAGGGACGGAGAAGGAUAGGUUCAGCAGGGCAUUGGUAGACCCUGUCCAAGCGUGCGAGGGGGAUCCGUAGGCAAAUCCGCGGAUCACAUACCCUGAGCCGUGAUGGGGAGCCGUAAGGCGAAGGAACUGACUUCAUGCUUCCGAGAAAAUCUUCUAGCCAGUGAUUGGGUGACCGUACCGCAAUCCAACACAGGUAGACGGUGAGGUAAACUCACAAGGUGUACGAAAGAACUCUCGUUAAGGAACUCGGCAAAAUAACCCCGUAACUUCGGGAAAAGGGGUGCCUCCCCUUCGCAAGAAGGAAGGUUGCAAUAAAUUGGAUCAGGGGACUGUUUAACAAAAACACAGGUUUCUGCUAAGUCGCAAGACGAUGUAUAGGAGCCGACGCUUGCCCAGUGCUGGAAGGUUACGAGGAGGGGUCAGGGAGCAAUCCCGAAGCUCUGAAUCUAAGCCCCAGUGAACGGCGGCCGUAACUAUAACGGUCCUAAGGUAGCGAAAUACCUUGUCGGGUAAGUUCCGACGCGCAUGAAAAGCGUAACCAUCUGAUCGCUGUCUCGACGAGAGAUUCGGUGAAAUAGCAGUACCCGUGAAGAUGCGGGUUACUUGCGGCAGGACGGAAAGACCCCGUAGAGCUUUACUAUACCUUGGCAUUGAAUACUGGCUUUUUAUGUACAGGAUAGGUGGGAGACUGGGAAGUGGGACCGUCAGGUUCCAUGGAGUCAUCCUUGGGAUACCACCCUUAAACAGUUAGGAUUCUAACAUCGAGCUUUGAAUCAAGCCGAUGGACCGUGUCAGGCGGGUAGUUUGACUGGGGCGGUCGCCUCCUAAAAAGUAACGGAGGCGCGCAAAGGUUCCCUCAGCGUGUUUGGAAAUCACGCGUAGCGUGCAAAGGCAUAAGGGAGCUUCACUGCAUAGACGGACACGUCAAACAGAUACGAAAGUAGGCCUUAGUGAUCCGGUGAUUCCGAAUGGAAGGGUCAUCGCUCAACGGAUAAAAGCUACCUCGGGGAUAACAGGCUUAUCCUUCCCAAGAGUUCACAUCGACGGGAGGGCUUGGCACCUCGAUGUCGGCUCGUCGCAUCCUGGAGCUGAAGCAGGUUCCAAGGGUUGGACUGUUCGUCCAUUAAAGCGGCACGCGAGCUGGGUUCAGAACGUCGUGAGACAGUUCGGUCCUUAUCCGCCGCAAGCGCAGGAUAUUUGAGUAGGUACGCUCCUUGUACGAGAGGAUCGGAGCGUGGAGACCUCCAGUGUACCGGUUAUUACACCCGUAAUACGCGCCGGGUAGCUGUGUCUCAAGGGAUAAAUACUGAAAGCAUCUAAGUAUGAAGCCCCCUUCAAGAUGAGAUAUCCCACCUCAGUAAGAGGGUAAGAACACUGGUAGACGACCAGUUUGAUAGGCUGGAGCUGGAAGAGCUGAAAGGCUUGUAGGUGACCAGUACUAAUCGUUCGAGGUUUUUUCCAG